GCUGCUUAAGAGGCGGUGACAGCCGAGGGGUCUCCUCCUAGGCAGGCUGCACCCUGGGGGACCCGCCAGGCUGCGAGUGAACUCCAGAGCUCUGGGGGCAGUGGGGCCAGUGAAGAGGGAGCGAGGAGGGCCAGGGAGCGGCUGAGAAAGGACUACCAUGCCGCCUCUCCUUCCGUGCAAAGCGUGAAAGCCAGGGGUGUGCGGGGCAGAGACUCGGAAGGUUCUGCGCUUUCCUGCUACGCAUCCCACAGAAGAAACACAAUGCAAAGAAAAGAUGCGCUCCCCAAACUCCCAGCACCAUGGGUGACAGGCCGCCUUGAAAAGGGUAGGCUUAAGGAGGCCCCACAGCAGAGCUGAGCCCACCCGACUCCGGGGAAGACCUAGUGGGGGCUAAGGCCGCCCUGGAAGUCCAAGUCCGAGUUGCAUUCCUUGAAGAGACUGAGCCAGGCAAAGCUUAACAUUGGCCCUGGAGACUGGUUUCCCAAGAGCUGUUCUUUUUCAAGAGCUCCACAGCGCGGAGCCAUCUCCAGAAAACAAUCCUCGGCGUCUAUUUCCUUUUAUCGUCAACCCGGAGCCCCACGGCAGCUAAUGCAAGAGGCCAAAAAUGUUUUGGAGGAAGAAAAACAAAGGCAGGAAGUGGCGGCGGACUGACGGUCUAGGCAGCCCUCGCAGGGCCGGCCCGUCGCUCCCCGCGCAACAUUUUGGAGAUGGCCACCCGGAGAGGAGAAGGCUGGCGCCCGCGCCAACCUCGUCAGGCGGAAAUGGCUAACGAGGAGAUUUGCGCAGCAGAGCAGACCAAGCCUUUCCAAGGCUCCUUUGAUUUGGCCCUAAUGUCGGAGGGGGUAGUUGGGGGUUCUGCAGCGCCUCCGGAUCCUCCUGGGGCGGGCUGAGUGCACCCUGGCGGUGAUGGGGUUAUUCUUGCGCCCGCGCUCCACGCGCCUUCCUAGGCGGGAUGUCGGAAUAAAGUGUGUCCAGGUGCCUCUGCC